rnacentral:rRNA from 1 species
UACGGAGGAUCCAAGCGUUAUCCGGAAUUACUGGGCGUAAAGAGUUGCGUAGGUGGCAUUGUAAGUUAACAGUGAAAGCGUUCGGCUCAACCGGAUAGACAUUGUUAAAACUGCAAAGCUAGAGGAUGAGAGAGGUUAUUGGAAUUCCCUGUGUAGGAGUGAAAUCCGUAGAUAUAGGGAGGAACACCGAUGGCGUAGGCAGAUAACUGGCUCAUUCCUGACACUAAGGCACGAAAGCGUGGGUAGCAAACGGG